rnacentral:piRNA from 1 species
UGGCUACUGUCUGGGAUCCGGGUC